rnacentral:rRNA from 1 species
GCAUAUCAAUAAGCGGAGGAAAAGAAACCAACAGGGAUUGCCCUAGUAACGGCGAGUGAAGCGGCAACAGCUCAAAUUUGAAAUCUGGCUUCGGCCCGAGUUGUAAUUUGUAGAGGAAGCUUUAGGCGCGGCACCUUCUGAGUCCCCUGGAACGGGGCGCCAUAGAGGGUGAGAGCCCCGUAUAGUUGGAUGCCUAGCCUGUGUAAAGCUCCUUCGACGAGUCGAGUAGUUUGGGAAUGCUGCUCAAAAUGGGAGGUAAAUUUCUUCUAAAGCUAAAUACCGGCCAGAGACCGAUAGCGCACAAGUAGAGUGAUCGAAAGAUGAAAAGCACUUUGAAAAGAGGGUUAAAUAGCACGUGAAAUUGUUGAAAGGGAAGCGCUUGUGACCAGACUUGCGCCGGGCGGAUCAUCCGGUGUUCUCACCGGUGCACUCCGCCCGGCUCAGGCCAGCAUCGGUUCUCGCGGGGGGAUAAAGGUCCUGGGAACGUAGCUCCUCCGGGAGUGUUAUAGCCCAGGGCGUAAUGCCCUCGCGGGGACCGAGGUUCGCGCAUCUGCAAGGAUG